UACGGAGGGUGCGAGCGUUGUCCGGAAUCACUGGGCGUAAAGGGCGCGUAGGCGGCCUGAUAAGUAGGGGGUGAAAUCUUGCGGCUUAACCGCAAGGCUGCCUUCUAAACUGUCAGGCUAGAGUACAGUAGAGGCAGGUGGAAUUCCCGGUGUAGCGGUGGAAUGCGUAGAGAUCGGGAAGAACAUCAGUGGCGAAGGCGGCCUGCUGGGCUGUUGCUGACGCUGAGGCGCGACAGCGUGGGGAGCAAACAGG
rnacentral:rRNA from 1 species